rnacentral:rRNA from 1 species
AACGAACGCUGGCGGCAUGCCUAACACAUGCAAGUCGAACGAGACCUUCGGGUCUAGUGGCGCACGGGUGCGUAACGCGUGGGAAUCUGCCCCUUGGUUCGGAAUAACUUCGGGAAACUGAAGCUAAUACCGGAUAAUGACGUAAGUCCAAAGAUUUAUCGCCAAGGGAUGAGCCCGCGUAGGAUUAGCUAGUUGGUGGGGUAAAGGCUCACCAAGGCGACGAUCCUUAGCUGGUCUGAGAGGAUGAUCAGCCACACUGGGACUGAGACACGGCCCAGACUCCUACGGGAGGCAGCAGUGGGGAAUAUUGGACAAUGGGCGAAAGCCUGAUCCAGCAAUGCCGCGUGAGUGAUGAAGGCCUUAGGGCGUGUAAAGACUCUUUUACCCGGGUAAGGAUAAUGACUGUACCGGGAGGAAUAAGCCCCGGCGUAACUCCGUGCCAGCA